GAUGAACGCUGGCGGCGUGCCUAAUACAUGCAAGUCGAGCGAACAGACGAGGAGCUUGCUCCUCUGACGUUAGCGGCGGACGGGUGAGUAACACGUGGAUAACCUACCUAUAAGACUGGGAUAACUUCGGGAAACCGGAGCUAAUACCGGAUAAUAUAUUGAACCGCAUGGUUCAAUAGUGAAAGACGGUUUUGCUGUCACUUAUAGAUGGAUCCGCGCCGCAUUAGCUAGUUGGUAAGGUAACGGCUUACCAAGGCAACGAUGCGUAGCCGACCUGAGAGGGUGAUCGGCCACACGGGAACUGAGACACGGUCCAGACUCCUACGGGAGGCAGCAGUAGGGAAUCUUACGCAAUGGGCGAAAGCUGGACGGAGCAACGCCGCGUGAGUGAUGAAGGUCUUCGGAUCGUAAAACUCUGUUAUUAGGGAAGAACAAAUGUGUAAGUAACUAGGAACGUCUUGACGGUACCUAAUCAGAAAGCCACGGCUAACUACGUG
rnacentral:rRNA from 1 species